rnacentral:sRNA from 1 species
AUGUUUAAUUGCAUUAAUCGAUUUAUUGAUAUCCCCAGGGGAUUUGAGGGAGCAGUGAAGGGAGGUAUGAAAGAUAGGCUAACUAAAAUCCCACGUUAUCUCCAAAUUCAUUCCUAUUCCCAAGAUAACUGGACCUAGGAUAAUUAAGUAGUUCUUUAGUAGGAAGAUAAAGUGUGCAUACAUCAUGUGUUCUAGAUGCGUUCAUUCCAGGAGUAAACUUGAAUAAAAUGACCUCUGAUCUUUUGGCCCCAAUAUUUAAUAUCAAAAGAAUGGAGCAAGAAGGGUGUAAUAGAAUAGAGUUAACUUUAGGGGGCAGCAAUACACUAUUUUGCUUUCAAUGUGUCUUGCUUUUUGACUGUAGAUUUUUUUUUUUUUUUUUUUUUUUUUGAGAGGAUGUCUCAGUCUGUCACCCAGGCUGGAGUGCAGUGGCUUAAUCUCGGUUCACUGCAACCUCCGCGUCCCGGGUUCAAGCUAUUCCCCUGUCUCAGCCUCCCAAGUAGCUGAGAUUACGGGCAUGCACCACCACGCCUGGCUAAGUUUUUGUAUUUUUAGUAGAGACGGGGUUUCAGCAUGUUGGCCAGGCUGGUCUUGAACAAGAAGUUGGAAGGGGACUGGGCCCUCUUGAACUCCUGACCUCAAGUGAUCCUCCUGCCUCGGCCUCCCAAAGUGUGGAGAUUACUGGCGUGAGCCACCGCGCCCAGCCAGAUGUAUGUUUGUUUUGUUUUGUUUUAGCAAAUAACUUUAUGUCUGAGAGACAGAUUCAUAGGGUUUGGGUUUGCAUAUCUGUGUUUUGGAUCGUUGAAACCUUAAGAUUUCUCUUUCUGCAACUUCUUUUUGGCUUUGGUUGUUCUAUUAUUGUUAAUAACUUAUUGCUUUCCUUUAUUAAAAAGUUUAUUACAGAAAAUUUGGUAGUUACAAACAGCAUAAGUAAAACCAAGUAAUCAUUGCCUACAAUGUCACUACUGAGAAAUACCAUUUUGGUGCAUAUUCUUCCAUAUUUAUGUGAAUGUGUUUGUGAUGGUUUUUAAUGAAUUUAAGAUAUUAUACAUGCUGUUGGAGAGAUUAAAUAUCCACAUAUAUACCCAGCAAGUGGCAGAGCCAGGAUUCGAACCCCAGGCAGUUUAAAGUGUAUGCGGUUUACUACAUUCUAUUUAAUCAGUCACCUCCAAAUAUCCUUUUUGGAUAUUUAGGUUUACCAGUGUUUCAUAUAAAAAUAAAUGCUUAAAUGGAGGUGAAAUCUUUUUAAGUGAAUUUUUACACAUUUCAUAUUUUCUUACACUGGGUUCCUAGAAGUAUUAUUGAAUCAAAGUAUACUUUUAUUAGGAUCUGUAUUACCAUAUUGCAUUCCACAAAGGGUAUACCAUUUUACAUUCUCAAAAGUAGUAUCAUCUACACUGGUAAUUAUUCUAAUUUUAACUAGUUUCGUGGGUGAAAAGGGACAUGACAUUAUUUUACUUUGCUUUUUGUGAACUUAAAUAUUGUUUGUGUAUUGAUCAUUUGUAUUUCCUCUCUUUGGAAUUGCCUGUUAAGAUAAAAUGCAUUUUAAAAAUUAGUCCUGUUGGGAGAACUUUGUAGGAUCAAGAAAAAAAUGAUGGAAAAGAAUCUAACAUUGUUACAUCUCUCACGUAUCUUCGGUAUCAUAAAUACUUGACAUUUUGCUAAAGGCUGUGGGAGACACUCCUAUUAUGAAAACAAAGAAGUGGGCAGUAGAGCGAACACGAACCAUCCAAGGACUCAUUGACUUCAUCAAAAAGUUUCUUAAACUUGUGGCCUCAGAACAGUUGUUUAUUUAUGUGAAUCAGUCCUUUGCUCCUUCCCCAGACCAAGAAGUUGGAACUCUCUAUGAGUGUUUUGGCAGUGAUGGUAAACUGGUUUUACAUUACUGCAAGUCUCAGGCGUGGGGAUGAACCACAAAGAAAAUCAACUUGCUACUACAUAAAAUGGAUUUUCACGGAAGAGACAGCUCUGAAAAGUUUUGAUGCUUGUGGCAAGAGACUUAACAGAUGUGAUCUAUUUAGUAUGUGUCUACUCUAUGUUUAUGCAUAAGAAAACAUCCAUAGCAUGAAUGGACUCAGAAAAAUGUGAUUUGUAUUAAUACACCAGUCAUCAUAAAAGAUGGUCAUGAUAGU